rnacentral:rRNA from 1 species
AUUGAACGCUGGCGGCAGGCCUAACACAUGCAAGUCGAACGAGUGGCGGACGGGUGAGUAAUGUCUGGGAAACUGCCUGAUGGAGGGGGAUAACUACUGGAAACGGUAGCUAAUACCGCAUACCAUCGGAUGUGCCCAGAUGGGAUUAGCUAGUAGGUGGGGUAAAGGGGCACCUAGGCGACGAUCCCUAGCUUGUAUGAGAGGAUGACCCACCCCACUGGAACUGAGACACGGUCCAGACUCCUACGGGAGGCAGCAGUGGGGAAUAUUGCACAAUGGGCGCAAGCCUGAUGCAGCCAUGCCGCGUGUGUGAAGAAGGUCUUCGGAUUGUAAAGCACUUUAAGUUGGGAGGCGUUACCCGCAGAAGAAGCACCGGCUAACUCCGUGCCAGCAGCCGCGGUAAUUC